CCUACGGGAGGCAGCAGUGGGGAAUAUUGGACAAUGGGCGAAAGCCUGAUCCAGCCAUGCCGCGUGUGUGAAGAAGGCCUUCGGGUUGUAAAGCACUUUCAGUGGGGAAGAAAGCCUUGGGGCUAAUACCCUCGAGGAAGGACAUCACCCACAGAAGAAGCACCGGCUAACUCCGUGCCAGCAGCCGCGGUAAUACGGAGGGUGCGAGCGUUAAUCGGAAUUACUGGGCGUAAAGCGCGCGUAGGCGGUCUGAUAAGCCGGUUGUGAAAGCCCCGGGCUCAACCUGGGAACGGCAUCCGGAACUGUCAGGCUAGAGUGCAGGAGAGGAAGGUAGAAUUCCCGGUGUAGCGGUGAAAUGCGUAGAGAUCGGGAGGAAUACCAGUGGCGAAGGCGGCCUUCUGGACUGACACUGACGCUGAGGUGCGAAAGCGUGGGUAGCAAACAGGAUUAGAUACCCCAUAGUC
rnacentral:rRNA from 1 species